ensembl:lncRNA
GAUAGUAACUGUAAAUUUCGAAUAUACUCAUGAGAAAAAAAAAAACAUAACUCAUCUGUCAUCUAAUCAGUAAGAGAGAAAUACUGUUGACUUGAUAUUUUCUGUUUUCAUUAUAUUUCAUUAUACUUUUUGUUCAUAUCUACUUAAAAAUACAGAUUUGCUAUCUCAUUGUAUAUGUUGAUGUGACACCAUUCUUUUUGCAUGUCUGCUGUGCAUAGGAUAUAGUUUUGUUUACUCCCCCCACACUCAAUCUUAUAUAACAAAUAUUUUUCCAAGUCUUUAAAAAUUCCUUGAAAUGUUACUUUUGGUAACAUUUGGCUGUAUAAUAAUCUAUCAUUUGGAUGUGUGCCAUAUUUUAUUUCUUAUAUCCCUAAGAUUAUUAAGAAGAUUCCAAUUACUUUCUAUAAUAAACAAUGCCCCAGUAAACAUCUUGAAUGUAAAUCUUUGUGCUUAUCCCUGAUUAUUUCCUUAGGGCAAUUUCCCAUGAGGAUUACAAGAAUGUGAGCAUACAUCUGGCUUAUUCAGGUGUACUUUCAGCUGCAACCUCUGUCUUAUUCUGUAAUGCUUUGUCCCCUCAAGUGACUGGAUUGCUUUAAAGUGAUCCUAAAAUUUACAUAGCAUUAAGAAAUUUGAAAUGUAUUUUAGGAAAGUUUCUAUACUCCCAAAGAUACAAACGUUUAAUCUCUGAAAGUGGCCGUGGUUGAGAUAUGUAUCUUUCUAACAAGGGAUGAAAGAAUUCUAAGCUUAUUUACUCAAAAAGUCUAAUAAAACAGAUUAUUGAAAGUGUUGGAAUUAUCUUUGUUUAUGAAAAGUUACAGUUGGUUUAAAUUGGCCAUUAAAAGAUCGUAUGAACCAGUCUCCCAAAGCUUAGCAACGUACGGGUCCAAUUCCCUUAUUUUCUCAAUCACAGAUUUUUCUGCUUAGGCUUAGCCUAUAAGGCUGAUAAUUGUGGCGUAAUAAAACUGCAUAGUGUUCAAGUGUGCAAUAAGCCUUGCUUAGCCAGACUCAAGCAAUAUUUACCAUCGCUCUGCUAAUGAGCUGUUCUUUAUAUCGUUUAAUUAGCCAGAUUUAUUUUAGCGAAGGUUAAAUGUGUUUCAUAUAUUUAAUAGCGGGCUUGAAAUAACAUGUGCUGAAAUCAAUUAGAAGAAAUGCAGGAAAAUUCCAAGCAGGCUUGCUGUGGAAUCAUCACCAUGCAGAUAGUAUUUUGGUUCAUCUUAGAAAAACCAGAAAUCUGAUGGGAAGAAAAUAUAUAGUGAAUCCUAAUCCAUUGCCAAAAAUAAUGUUGUCUGCAUUAUUGACACUUCUUUUGUGGACCACUUGUGGAAGCAGAUGUCCAGUCCUCUUCUUUGAAAGGUACUUAUGGAGCCUAGUCUAAUUGUGGGUGAUGUACCAGGCCAUGCUUACUGAGGGGCUGUGUGUCUAUAUAGCACAAGUCAUGUAGAGUCAGAAUUACCCUUGAGCGCCUCUUUGGAAGGCCCCACCUUGGAGGCCCACACUCUGUCUCCCAGGGAGGCCCACACGGCUAGUUUUGCCUGCAGAGUUGGAACAGAUUGCUGUUUCUUUGAAUACCAGAUAAACAGUUGGCUUGUGUGUAGGGGCCAACUUGUAUGAAAAAUAUGUUUCCUUAAGCACCAGAAUCCCACUCAGGUCUGCGAGAUGUUCACAGUGGGAGCUCCACUGGACUGAGGCUGACAGAGGGAGCUGAGGAAUGAUAUUUUUCUUCUCUCUCCCCCGCCCUGGGGCAUGAGUUCAUUGAGUGGGAUGGCUGGCGCCUGCCUGUGGGUCCCUUCCACCCUCCCUCAUGGUGGGUGUUGGGUUCUUUUGAGAGAAAGCAUGUGUGACGUGACACCAUAGCAAUUGCUGUGAUGUGGAAUUUUACCCACAGAGAAGUUCUUCUGUGACACCCUCCAGUGAUCUUUUUUUUUUUUUUUUAAUUUUUUCCUUUUUUGGCCACACCUGUGGUACAUGAAAGUUCCAAGCCAAGGGUUGAACCAGAAUUGCAGCUGCCAGCCUAUGCCAUGCAAUACCACAGUUGAGCUGUCUCUGAGACCUAAGCCACAGCUUGCAGCAAAGCCGGAUCCUUAACCCACUGAUUAGGGACACAGUAGUGACCAUCCUUGCUCUUCUGCCACUUAAGGUCUUGGUAGGUCCUUGAGAAUUUGCCUUUGCCGAGGCACCAGUGGACUGACCGGAUAAUCAUUACACCUAUAAGGACUUAAAUAUUUAAUGCAGAAAAUGCUUAUUUGGGGUUCUUGAUUUGAGACUGUAUGAUGAAAAUGGUUUCUUUGAGAACUACCCAUUAUCUAAGCUCACACACUUUUUGCUUUAUGAUAACCAACCUCAGAGGCCAGUUGACCUCCCCGUCCGAUGUCUGUGUCUCUCGCUGGAUCACCACCUACCUGCUUUCAAACUCUUGGCUCCAGUAUUGCCUGAUCUCUGGCAUCUUUGCAUCCAGCAGCACCUCCGUGCUCCAGUUCCUCAUUCUCAGGAUCUGCGUGCCUUUGCUUCUCCCAAAGUGGUGGUAGAUAUGCGUAUGUGUGCGAGACAGACAGACUCAACAAACACAUUCUUGUGCUUGAGAGUUGACUUUUGAUGGCUAUUCUUUCACCAUUAGAGUGAUGGUUGCAAACCUGGAGAGAAGGGCAAAGUAAUUGGGUCCCAUUGUGUGUGUUCCUUUGCCUCUUUUGAUCUUGACCUAUUGACCUUUUGUGGGGCUUCCUUGUGCUGUGUUGUCUCCUGCCUGCUGUGGCUCACUUUUCCUCUUGUCUGAGUUACAGUUUGCAACCUCCUGCCUUUCUUAAUGAAUGCUUGGAACCUUCAAGGUUGGUAACAGUGGGGUGAGGUGGGCAGCAGGGCCGUCUGGCCCCAGAUUGCUCCAAGAUCUUUGUGCUCCUGGAGGUGGAUGCCAGGCUAGAUGUCUCAGGGUAUGCCAGGGGCCACAUAAUUCACCGGAUUAAUAUGAUUUAUCUUCUCAGACAGUUCUUUUUUUUGUUUGUUUUUGCAAGCUACCUACAACCAUGCUUUUUACAUUGAAACAAACAUGGGUAUCUUAAGGCAUAGACUGCAAAAUUUACCUGAGGUCGAAAUUACCUUUCAGGCAGACACAUUCAUGCUGGUCUUCUAAGGACUUUGCUGUGAGAGUUGAAUCAGGCCUGGCUGAGCCCUGGCUCCUGGUUGCAGUUGUUUGAGAUGGAAGCAUGCAGGGCAUGUUGAUUGCCUUCCCUCCCUGCUUCUCUCAGUUGCCUGUGUUACGGUUCAGGCUGGAGGCACUCUGCUCCCUUGUCACCACUUGAGCAUGCCUGCCUGGUUCACAGGCGCUACAGACGUUGAUCCUGGGUGUCCUUGGACCUGCUCAAAGGUCAGUGCCUGUGGCUGCAGGUGCUGCGGGUGAGUAUAGUGGGAAUGAGGAGUGUGAAGAGCAGUGCUGCUGGCUUCGUGGCAUCAGAGUGGGAGGUGUGUGCUGCCCUCAGAGAAGGGGCUGGGGUCUGAUACCCUCUCUGGGCAUACAGGUGCUCAGCGGAGCCUCCCGAAUGUGAGGGGGUGUCUGUAGCCCCUGGGUGAACCCACUGAGCGGAGCAGCACAGGAUUAGCUGAUAGGCUGCAACACAGACCAGAGCAGACUCUGCCCUGGAUGCUCUCUGCUUUAUCAGAGGCUGCAGGACAUUUGUCCCUCGUGCCUUUUGCUCUUCUCUGCGUGGAGUUGAGGCCACGCUCAGCUUCUCUUUCUGACCUCCUUUGAAGCUGCGUCUUUCCACGAGGGAGGAAUGAUGUCUGAGCCGAAGGAGGAAGCUGGCAUAUGCUGCCCUGGUCCGUGUGGUUCAGCCCCCAGUGUCUCCGAGACAAGAUGUUCCAGUAGGUGGGGCCACCCUUCUCCUUUACAACCUGUUUUGCAAGAGGAGAAUUUGCUUCCUUCCUAAUCUCUGGAAGAAGGCCGUGCAUGCAGUAAGACAGGUAUCAGCCUUAAGGAAAAUUUAUGAGUGUGCCAAGUGGGUCUUUGAUGCCUUUCCAAAGGAGGCAGCUCAGUGUAGUGGGAGGAGCACCAGUGUUGGAACCACACAGAUCAGGAUCUGGAUCUAGCCUCAGUCCCUUUCUUCUUUUCUGUCAUUGGUCAGGUUACUUAAAUGUCUGAGCCUCAUUUUCCUCAUCUGUAAAAGGAUGAUGUUAAUAAUAACUCUGUUAGUGAUGCAGAGGAAGAAAGAUGAUGUAUGCAAAGUGCUUGGCAUGUAGUAGCCAAUCAAAAAAUGUCCCUCACGCAUGCUCCACAGUCCUAAGCCCAAUGCUGGAUGCAGGGUAGCCCUUCUCAGGAGGUUCCAAAUCAUAUUAUUUUAUUUUAUGUUUUCCAAUUUAAUUUUUAUUUUAUAUUGGAGUAUACUUGAUUUGCAGUGUUGUGUUACUUUCCAGUGUAUAGCAAAGUGAUUCCGUUAUACAUAUACAUAUAUCAAUUCUUUUUCCGAUUCUUUUCCUAUAUAGGUUAUUACAGAAUACUGAGGGGGAAGUUCCUGUUGUGGCUCAGUGGAAACAAGUCUGACAAGUAUCCAUGAGGACACAGGUUCUAUCCCUAAUCCCUUGCUCAAUGGAUUAGGGUUCUGGUGUUACCAUGAGCUGUGGUGUCGGUUGCAGAUGUGGCUUGGAUCUGGUGUUGCUGUGGCCAUGGCAUAGGCCAAUGGCUACAGCUCUGAUUUGACCCCUAGCCUGGGAACCUCCGUAUGCCACUAGUGUAGCCCUAAAAA